AUGCAUGUAUAUGUAUAAACGCAAUAAGCGUGAAACCGCGAACGGCUCAUUACAACAGCUAUAAUUUACUUGAUCUUGACCACCCUACAUGGAUAACUGUGGUAAUUCUAGAGCUAAUACAUGCACCAAAGCUUCGACCGUAAGGAAGGAGCGCAUUUAUUAGAACAAAACCAUACAGCUUCGGCUGUCCAAUAUUGGCUCAGAAUAACUAAGCUGAUCGCAUGGUCUUGCACCGGCGACGCGUCUUUCAAGUAUCUGCUUUAUCAACUUUCGAUGGUAGUGUAUCUGACUACCAUGGUGAUCACGCGUAACGGAGAAUAAGGGUUCGGCUCCGGAGAGUUCGCCUGAGAAAUCGCGAACACAUCUAAGGAAGGCAGCAGGCGCGAAAAUUACCCACUCUCAGCACGAGGAGGUAGUGACGAAAAAUAACGAGACCGUUCUCUUAUGAGGCCGGUCAUCGGAAUGGGUACAAUUUAAACCCUUUAACGAGUAUCUAUGAGAGGGCAAGUCUGGUGCCAGCAGCCGCGGUAAUUCCAGCUCUCAAAAUGCAUAGAAUUAUUGCUGCGGUUAAAAAGCUCGUAGUUGGAUCUCUGUUCGCGUGCCGGUCCAUCCUCGCGGAUGUGCACUGGUGGCGUGGACACAUCUGCAGUGCUCGACACGUUGUCCCUCACGGUGAUGGCGCUGUCCGAUGCUGCGAGUUUACUUUGAACAAAUCAGAGUGCUCUAAACAGGCGUUUCGCUUGAAUGAUUGUGCAUGGAAUAAUAGAAGAGGAUUUCGGUCCAAUUUUAUUGGUUUUAUUGGCUGAGAUAAUGGUUAACAGAGACGAACGGGGGCAUUCGUAUUGUUGUGU
rnacentral:rRNA from 1 species